AGAAUCAACGCUGGCGGCGUGCCUAACACAUGCAAGUCGCACGAGAAAGGGGAGCAAUCCCUGAGUACAGUGGCGCACGGGUGAGUAACACGUGAAUCAUCUACCUCCGAGUGGGGAAUAACUGAGAGAAAUCUUAGCUAAUACCGCAUAACACUUACGAGUCAAAGCAGCAAUGCGCUUGGAGAGGAGUUCGCGGCAGAUUAGUUAGUUGGCGGGGUAAUGGCCCACCAAGACGAUGAUCUGUAUCCGGCCUGAGAGGGCGCACGGACACACUGGAACUGAAACACGGUCCAGACUCCUACGGGAGGCAGCAGUGGGGAAUUUUGCGCAAUGGGGAAACCCUGACGCAGCAACGCCGCGUGGAGGAUGAAGCCCCUUGGGGUGUAAACUCCUUUCGAUCGGGACGAUAAUGACGGUACCGAGAGAAGAAGCCCGGCUAACUUCGUGCCAGCAGCCGC
rnacentral:rRNA from 1 species